rnacentral:lncRNA from 1 species
GCAAAUAAGUGGGUAUAAACCAAGGCACAAAGAACAUAAUAUGAUUAUGUAAUGCACAAGUUUCAUAAAACUCUUGAGAAAUAUUAUUUAAAUCUUCUUUACUAUAAGUGUCAAAAAACCAAGUUUUAAACCGGUUCCAUUUUUCAUUUAAAAAUUCGUUUUGAAUAUAUUUUCUUGCCAGUGAACCUGGACUAAAAUCAAUUUGAUGUUCACUCAUCAUUAAGUAUCAUUAAGAUUAAAAUCCAUCUCGGAUACAGAAGGAAUAUCCUUAUCAGAAACAUCAGAUGAUUUAUCAUUCGUUUGAAC